rnacentral:rRNA from 1 species
GACGAAGGAUGCAAGCGUUAUCCGGAUUCAUUGGGUUUAAAGGGAGCGUAGGUGGCCUUAUAAGUCAGUGGUGAAAUCUCUCGGCUUAACUGAGAAAUUGCCAUUGAUACUGUAGGGCUUGAGUACAGUUGCUGUGGGCGGAAUAUGACAUGUAGUGGUGAAAUACAUAGAGAUGUCAUAGAACACCGAUUGCGAAGGCAGCUCACAAAACUGUAACUGACACUGAGGCUCGAAAAGUGCGGGGGAUCAAACAGG